GGUCGUAGAAGCCGUCCAUGGUGCAGGGAGGCGGGCAGUGCCCCCGGCACGCUCAGCAUCGACGGCGGCCCGGGAAGGGGGCUCCCGCCUGGGCUCCGGCAGGUGCGAGGCCGCUGCAGGCCGGGAGCGGGGCCGGGCGGGCCGGGACGGCGCAGCUCCGAGUCGGGCACCGCGCUGCCGCUCUGCGCCGGCCCGCAGCUCCCGAGCCAGCAGCCCCCGCCACGCCACGCCCAGCGCCGCUUGUUUACCCUCUGCG
rnacentral:lncRNA from 1 species